CUCUUCUUGUUUGUUGAUUUGAAGUAUGGCCUGCCCGCUGAGGUUAUUGAAGGGCCGCGGUAUUUUGACCGUGCAAAGGUAGCAUAAUCAUUAGCUCUUUAAUUGUGAGCUGGUAUGAAUGGUUUGACGAGGCAUUAACUGUCUUUAACUUAAGGGUUGUUGAAUUUGUUUUUUAGGUAAGAAUACCUGGAUUUUUUUAUGGGACGAGAAGACCCUAUAGAGUUUUAUAUGACGCAUUUCCUUUAGUUUGUUGUGUUUGUGGGGUGUUGGUUUAUAUUUUGUUGGGGCGAUGAGAAGGUAGGUGUAACCCUUCUUUUAUUGUGUUUUCACUUAUUUGUGCUUUUUUGAUCCUUUUUAUUGAUUGUAAGACUAAAUUACCUUAG
rnacentral:rRNA from 1 species